CAGCAACGAAUGGACAGCGCACGCGGACGUCGGCGUGGCGCAUCCAACGGGAACGGCGGUCACGGGACGCUCGCUGCGCGCAGCCCACCACGGAGGACCUUCCUGUAAACGGCCCAUUGUUCUCCUUGUCGCUGUGACCAGGGAACCUGGCAGGAAGCCACUGAAGACCAGGAGCGUGAACCGGGGCUCUCAGCCUGAGGACCACAGUCCACCAUAGCGGGCAGUCAUGUCAAGAGUGCCAGGCAGCUGGCCACGCGGCGCCCACGCCCGGGGAAGCAGAGACAAGCGCUGGUGCCAGCUUCCUUUCUGCUCCCUGGGAGCCUGCUAUAUUUUGUGCCUCUGAAAAGCCUUAAAUAAUAAGUCUGUUCUCUAACUUCUGGAAUCUUCCAAAGGUAAUUUUUUUUAAAGAUGAAGGACGUUAAUCAUGGGGUCCUUGCAACCGUUACAGUUGCUCAGGAGACGUGCAUGGGUGUCUGUGCCCUCUUUUGUUUCUCUCCCACACUGACCACUUGUGUUUCCUCUUAGAAGAGGAAAGAAAAUAUCAUCAGUUGAAAAGAGAAACUGAAAUAAAAUGUACCAACCACUCAAAAGCCAGUAACUUCAAAAAUGAUGAUCCCAUUCCAGAAGAAUCUGUUCUCAUUAUGAGGCUAUUUCAACGCAGAUUUAGUCAUAAAGGAGACACCAAAAGCAAAAUAGCCCUUUAGGUUGCAAUCUAUUCCAACUUCAGAAAAAAACCUCUAAGAUGUUAAUUGUUCCAAAGAGGUCGAAGGGAAGCUUGAGAUGCUCAGAGCUGCACCCAUGCCGAGGCAUGAAUUUUGAGUUUUGAGUUUAAAUUUGCAAAUCAAUUGCAUAAAGCAAGGUCAGAGGACCAUCCUGAUGAGGCAAAGGACGUGAAUGCUGUGCUUCUGGUCUGCAUUCCAAACCAAGAACCGGAAGAAAGACAACGCACUAGGAAUUAAAUUGCCAUUGUUCCUAGCUCUGAAAGGGUGAUUCCACGCGGUCAGCUUCUGAACCUUUCUUCCUAAUUGAGAAGUGAAUCCUGGCUCUGUGUCAUCCCAGGGACCAAACAGCAAAUGGCCAGUGCUUUGGCAGCACUCUGACCAUGAGGGAGGAUCCCAAUGUGAUGUCUUUUUCGUAGCUGUUACAAGAACAUCACUACUGUCAAAUGUGGAGGCUCCUGUGUGCAAUCCAGGCUCUCGGGAGGUUGAAGCGGGAGGAUUUAGUGCAAGUUCUAGGCAAGCCUGGACUCCAUAGUAAAUUCUAGGCCAUCCUGGGCUAUGAAGAGUAAGACUCUGUUGCAAAAUUAGAAAAUCAACUAAGAGGGCCACCAUUAUCUACAAACUUCCCAGCCCCUUUCAGUCCUCACAUUCUAGACUUUGUUUCUUUCGAUCCACAUUUCUCAACUGACAGUUAUUUAUCUAACUUGUUGGACAGGGCAAAGAUAAUUCGUUCAGCACAGCUCCACCAAACACUAGACUUUUGUCAUCAAAGGCUUCAUGUGAACUCAUCUCUCUGGUCUUCCCGGUUGCGGGGGUGGUUGAUGGAGCAAGCCAGAGUCACGAAAUGGGCUUCAGACUGACCAAAGAUGGUGACUGUUCUUCCCCCUUGGUUGCCCACCAUCCCUAUGGUCCGUGGUGGAACCGAGAGUCACCUCCUGUCUCUAGAGUGCUAGCCUCUUCUCUCCGCCAGCAGCGCUCACCACACGGCUUCAUGGCUCCGCUAGAUCAGUGGACUGGAGAUGCUACAGCUCCCAUCUCUAGCCCUGUUCCUCAAGCCGCAAGCACACAACCAAUGUGAAGUGAGUGUUCUUUAGAUUCUGACCCAGAAAUAUGCUGAGCUUUAUGGUGAGAGCUUCAGAUAGUUUUAUGUUUAAAAAAAAAUGAGUGGCGGGUUCUUCCCAGAUAUUCAUGCAUAUGAAACUCAUGAAUAAUUUUCUUCUCUCAGUGACUGAAGAUGAAUCCUUUUAAUUUGAAGUGGCCUGUACACUAAUGAUUCCUGUCAUUACUCCAGGAUCCUUUAAGUUGGAUUUUCUUCUUCUCUCUUGGACUCAGUGAGGUAGAAAUUAAGGACGGCUCUCAUUAGCUUUUAUAUUUCCUGGAGCAUCUGCUCGUGGUCACAGAUUGAUCCAUCCUGAAUAUUUAUUUGUCUAUAAAUGCCACUGAGUCAGUACUUCACUUUACAACUCUUUCUUUUGAUCCCCAAAAGCAGCGUCUCCUUUGAAAGUCCCGUCAAUACCAUCAUUUGCAAUUUAAAAUGCUUUGAGAUAUCAUCCUCCCCGCUGUGUUUUUGAAUACUUCCUUCAUAUUUAAUUGGUGCAGUCACUUUAGUUCCUAAUUAAACUUUAUUGUUUAUGAGGUUGUUCUCAUUAAUAGACAUAAUGGGAGAAGAAAGAAGGAAGGAAGGGAAGAAAGAAAAGAAGGAAAAGAGCUGGUUUCAGCGAAUUCCCUGACCUCCAACUCCACUCUUAAUACUUCUCACGGCCGUGAAUUCACAGAACAGGAGAUUGGGCAGGAAGUAAGACACAAUGCGACUGCACAGCCCAUGCUCUUGAGAAUUUACUAGGUGUUCUGGAAGACAAGUGGUUAGCUUAGAAAUGGCAUCUGAAGUCCGUGCAAGAUGAAUGUCCUCAUCCCAGGCUCUUUCCCCUCCGCACAAACCCAGUUUUGCAUUUGGUGAUGAAUAUCGCACACACAAUGCUUGCCCGACACUCUGAGUCUUAAAAUACUUUUAUUGUGAGGAAGUGGGCACUUGAAGGAUCUAAUGGUGUCUGGUCCCAGACAGAGUUUUCUGUAUUGCAUCAAGGUUGAAAUGCCCAUGAGGCUGAGAAUCUUAUUGCCCAUUUCUGAGAUUAAACAGUUUUGGAAAAAUG